GACGAACGCUGGCGGCGUGCUUAACACAUGCAAGUCGAGCGGUAAGGCCUCUUCGGGGGUACACGAGCGGCGAACGGGUGAGUAACACGUGGGUGACCUGCCCUCAGCUCUGGGAUAAGCCUGGGAAACUGGGUCUAAUACCGGAUAUGAACUCUCCUCGCAUGGGGUUUGGUGGAAAGUUUUUUCGGCUGGGGAUGGGCCCGCGGCCGAUCCGCCUGUUGGUGGGGUGAUGGCCUACCAAGGCGACGACGGGUAGCCGGCCCGAGAGGGCGACCGGCCACACUGGGACGGAGACACGGCCCAGACUCCUGCGGGAGGCAGCAGUGGGGAAUAUUGCGCAAUGGGCGGAAGCCUGACGCAGCGACGCCGCGUGGGGGAUGACGGCCUUCGGGUUGUAAACCUCUUUCGACCCCGACGAAUUUGGACGGUAGGGUGAGAAGAAGCACCGGCCAACUACGUG
rnacentral:rRNA from 1 species